UACGAGGGGGCAAGUGUUGUUCGGAAUCACUGGGCGUAAAGGGAGCGUAGGCGGGCUUUUAAGUUAGGUGUUUAAUCCCGGGGCCCAACCCCGGACCGGCACCUAAAACUGGGAGUCUUGAAUAGUGGAGAGGUCAGUGGAAUUGGGGGUGUAGCGGUGGAAUGCGUAGAGAUCCCCAAGAACACCAGUUGCGAAGGCGGCUGACUGGACACAUAUUGACGCUGAGGCUCGAAAGCAUGGGGAGCAAACAGG
rnacentral:rRNA from 1 species